CCAAUAGCGUAUAUUAAAGUUGUUGCAGUUAAAAAGCUCGUAGUUGAAUUUCGGGGUUCAUACGUUGGUCGGGCUUUUUGGUCUGUACUAGCGUAAUGGAUUCCUACCUUCUGAAUAACCGGCAUGUCAUUAAUUUGGUGCGCCGGGGAAGCAGGACUGUUACCUUGAAAAAAUUAGAGUGCUUAAAGCAGGCUAUCGCCUAAAAACUUUAGCUUGGAAGAUGGAAAUAGGACGGCAUGGUUCUAUUUUGUUGGUUUCUAGGAUCACCGUAAUGAUUAAUAGGGAUAGUUGGGGGCAUUAGUAUUCAAUUGUCAGAGGUGAAAUUCUUGGAUUUAUUGAAGACUAACUUCUGCGAAAGCAUUUGCCAAGGAUGUUUUCAUUAAUCAAGAACGAAAGUUAGGGGAUCGAAGACGAUCAGAUACCGUCGUAGUCUUAACCAUAAACUAUGCCGACUAGGGAUCGGACGAUGUUAAUUUUUUAAUGACUCGUUCGGCGCCUUACG
rnacentral:rRNA from 1 species